rnacentral:misc_RNA from 1 species
UUUUUAUUUAUUGGGAAAUUUUAGAGUUGAUAGUGCUAUUUCAACUUUAACAAAUAUUUGAUUCGAUGGAUUUUGAGCUUGGGGACUUCAACAUCCAUAGCUCGGCAUAACAGGAACUGCAAUACUUCUCUUUCUUUAGUAAUAUGUCAAAUCCAUUCAAUUUCCUUUUUGCCUUUGGGAAAUUGAGUGAAAGAGAGAUUUUUAAGAAUAUACUGGAGUGAGGAAACAAUAAAUAAUGUUGCCUUCUCUAUCUGUCUUUUUGUCUCUUAAAGAAAGAAGUGAACAGAUUUAUUUUUUGACGGGGCUUGGAAGCAGAGUGUAGAUAGAUGUAUUUCCUGGACUGAACUAAUGACUGCUUAAUCUUUAGUUGCUUGGAAAGGCCAACUUGUCAGAGUAAUUUGGAAGUUCACUGUUAGUAAGGAUUUGUAGAUGGGGCAUCGCUACAGGGCUACAUAUGCUGGAUUGUUUUUCUGCUACUUUUCUUUGUUCAAUCAAUGUGUACUUUUUCCACUUAAAAUAAGGGGUUGCCUAUUAUCAUUACUUCUACUCUUAAUAAUCUUUAUAUAUUUUGUCUACUUGCUUCUUGAGUUUUUGAAUUCCAUGUAAUAUGUCAAAUACUAUGUAGUGGGUAUUUUUCUUUUCUCCCAUGUUUUCUCUGCAAUGUGUCUGCAUAUGGUUGCUGUUUACUCGUCUCAUUUUUUUCCCAACCUAAGAAUUUUAUACUCAUAAAGAGUUGGUAGGAAAGACU